rnacentral:rRNA from 1 species
GACGUAGGGGGCGAGCGUUGUCCGGAUUUAUUGGGCGUAAAGAGCUCGUAGGCGGUCUGUCGCGUCGAUCGUGAAAACUUGGGGCUUAACCCUGAGCUUGCGGUCGAUACGGGCAUGACUGGAGUUCGGCAGGGGAGACUGGAAUUCCUGGUGUAGCGGUGAAAUGCGCAGAUAUCAGGAGGAACACCGGUGGCGAAGGCGGGUCUCUGGGCCGAUACUGACGCUAAGGAGCGAAAGCGUGGGGAGCGAACAGG